UACGUAGGUGGCGAGCGUUGUCCGGAUUUAUUGGGCGUAAAGCGAGCGCAGGUGGUUUAUUAAGUCUGGUGUAAAAGGCAGUGGCUCAACCAUUGUAUGCAUUGGAAACUGGUAGACUUGAGUGCAGGAGAGGAGAGUGGAAUUCCAUGUGUAGCGGUGAAAUGCGUAGAUAUAUGGAGGAACACCGGUGGCGAAAGCGGCUCUCUGGCCUGUAACUGACACUGAGGCUCGAAAGCGUGGGGAGCAAACAGG
rnacentral:rRNA from 1 species